CUGUGCCAAUGCAGUGCUGCAGUGUUAAAUGGUCAGUAUGAGAGAUUAUCAUCUUGGCUACUACAUGAGAUUGCAAUUAAAGUCAUUUUCAGCUUCUAGUCACUUUUUCUUAUUCAGUGGGAACACGACAUUCCAGAGGCUGUUAAUUCCCAGUCUUUGCUGCUGUGCUGUCUCUCUGAUGCUGUGCUAAGUCAGAAACGAGGCAGGAAAAUUACACCCACAGGCCUGAUGUGAAGGUUAAGAUCAACCUCCAUGGAGUUCCUAAAUCAAGGGGAAAGUUAUGAUUGAGUUUGGGGCAUCAUUCAACACAGAAAAUCGGCAUUUAGGAUAACUCAUCUCAUGAAUGCAGCUGCAAACUCCUGAGUUAAGAGCAGAGCUGCCAAAAGUCUCCUUUCCUGUUUCAGUGUGUGAGCUGCAGCCUGGACAUGGAUUACAACACACAGCAGCCACACUCUGCACAAGGUGGAUGCAGCUGCUAUCCUAUCUUGCUAAACACACUGCCUUUAACUUCUGGAGACUUAUAAGAUCAUGGAGAUUAUAGAGCACUAUAGGUGGAAAGUUCUGUGCAGGUGUCCAGGAUUGCUGCAGUCUGUGUCUCCCUGGGACUUC
rnacentral:lncRNA from 1 species